rnacentral:rRNA from 1 species
CCUACGGGAGGCAGCAGUGAGGAAUAUUGGUCAAUGGCCGGAAGGCUGAACCAGCCAAGCCGCGUGCAGGAAGACGGCUCUAUGAGUUGUAAACUGCUUUUGUACGAGGGUAAACGCAGAUACGCGUAUCUGUCUGAAAGUAUCGUACGAAUAAGGAUCGGCCAACUUCGCGCCAGCAGCCGCGGUAAUACGGAGGAUUCAAGCGUUAUCCGGAUUUAUUGGGUUUAAAGGGUGCGUAGGCGGUCGGUUAAGUUAGAGGUGAAAUCCCGGGGCUCAACUUCGGAAUUGCAUCUGAUACUGGUCAGCUAGAGAGUAGUUGCGGUAGGCGGAAUGUAUGGUGUAGCGGUGAAAUGCUUAGAGAU